CGGGAUGUAGCGCAGUUUGGCAGCGCGCAGCGUUCGGGACGCUGAGGCCCCGGGUUCAAAUCCCGGCAUCCCGACCA
rnacentral:tRNA from 3 species